rnacentral:lncRNA from 1 species
CUGCGGCCAGACGGGACGGCCGGACCCGUGACAGAAGUCUCUUUGCUUCCCAACCCGGAUGGAGACGUCUCCAGAACCUGGAGGGACACGUGCAUUUUCUCCCUCUUGGACUCUACCUCACCGGUCUGGAAGUCCUCCGAAGACUUUUUCAAUUUUUUUCUCCAAAGGAAUUUGUUUUCGUGCUUGUGUAAUAAAGCCAGAAUUUUACUUGCUCCUUAAUUCCCCUUCUGUUUUCUUUUUGACUGUCAGCCCCACUUUCUGGACAGAAGAUCGACUAUGUUUCCUGGUGAAGUGCUGGUGUACGCUCAGGGUAUUCUGAAGCCCACUCGUUUUCUAAUUUUUACUGGAUUCCAAAGCUUUGAUCAAGGUCGUCUCUUUUAAGAGUUUCAAGCUUAUGACUGUUAAUGUAAGGAUUUGUAUGGCUUUGAAUUUCAUGAGCUCAGUGAUUACCAAGAGAUGCAAAGUACAACUUAAAAAAAAGUUAAGGUGUUUAUAUAUAAAGUUUUAUAUUGAAGUUUAAUAUUUAUAUUUACUGAGCUCCUUAAGUAAAAUGGUAGAAUAUUCUUUAAAAGUUUUGUUUUAAGAAAAGUUGACUUACUUUAUUCAUUUUAAUUGAAUAAAAUUGAAGUGUUUUGAACCACAUGACUUGUGAUAAAAAUUGAAUAAAUUUUGAAUAUGUUGGCUACAAGAAUGACUGGAAUCCAGUUGGAGGUGAUUUGACCUCACGUCCUGGUCUAAAAUAAAAUUCAGGAUUGUUGAUGGGAAGAGAAU